CGGAAAGCGCGAGCUCAUAGACUCUUCCCGACCUCGCCCGUCACGCAACUCGCCACGCAGACGCCUCACUUGCUUCAUUUGCCCCGGCUCCAGUUGAGGAGGCGGACUGGCUGUGUCCAGAGGGAGCAAGGUGGAGAGCGUAAAGGUGACGAAGCGACAGAGUUGCCACUUGAAGGCGAGGCCAAGAACGCGCAGCGGCGCCGAGAGGGAAGCAGGCGAGGGGAAAAAGGGUGAGAGAGGCCUUCGCGCCCCAUCAAACGGAUACACCAUCAGGCGAAAACAACAGAGACUUUCCGAUGGAAUGACCACCCCCGGUCGGCCUGCCGCCGCUCCCGAAUACGGGCGACGGCCGCACAGAUCCGCCGACGCAACGGACGAGGCCGAAGAAACCAAAGCGCGCGGUGUGGCCUUGGCCGAUCUGUCCCGGAGAUUCUCGCGAGCUCGGCGUUCACCCCGUUCGUCCUUUUCGAGGUCGUCGCCUGGUUCGUGGUCGGCGGGGAGUUGUCUCGCGCUCUCGUCCUCUUCCGCAGACGCAAGCGGGAGAAGGCGACACGGCAGCGGGCCUCGGGAGGUGACGAGGACUCCUCGACUGGCGACUUCCAAGUCGAGGCCGAACCUCUGAAUCAGACAGAGGACUCCCUGGACGACGGAUCUUCUUUUCUUCCGGCCGCCUGCGUCGCCAGGCGCCGCCACUUCUGCCUCUCCCCUGGCCCUGGAAGCCUUCUGAGUCGGUUUCCUCGCAUCUUCGCGUCUCCACAGCGCCACAGCUUCUCGGUGGAGUUCGUCGGGAUUCGGGAAGGCGAGCCACGCAACGACUCCUGGAAGCGAAACGGUGACGUUGCCUCGCUCUCUUCUCGCGUCUCCUCGCGCCUUUGCCUCUUCGCUCCUGUCCAAACGUCUGUCCUCACGCAGCGGGUUUGGCGCGCAAGACGCGAAGCCUGAGUGGCCGCUGUGCCCGGUCUCCAGUUUUCCCGGCGAGCUCUGGCCUUCCUCGCUUUCCACCAGAUGCUGGAGUUUCGGAAGAAGCGCGAGCAGCAGGAAGGCACGCAGCUGUCUCCGCUUCUCGCCUUCGGGGUCCUCCCGCCCCGCUCUCAGAGCGAACAGAUUCAUCAACUCAAAGACGCAGAGGACACCGAUGCGGUAGUUUUCAAAGUCGAGAAACGACGGCAGAGGCGCCAGCGCUUGCAGCGGAAGACUCGCCGACACCCCGGCACGUGCCACGCCGCCUGAGUGUCUUUCAUCGCCCUCAGCGUGCACACGCGACGGGCCGGAUGCCCUCGUCUCGCCGCCCUCUCUUCCAGCUCGGCUCUCUGCUUCGGCAGCAUCCGCUGCACGGUUGCACGUUGCAGGUGCACACUUGGCGCUGCCAUCACUUGCGUGCAGGUGACCCGCUCUGGGGUCUCCGUGCACGGCCUGCGCGUCGUUGCCAGGGAAAGCGGAGGCUCCAGAAGCGUCCAGGAAAGGCCCCGGCUCGCCACUAGAGAAGUGAGCCGCGCCGGGCGAGGAAGCAGGAAGCGACGAAUCCGGCCCGCCGGAACUUGAAUCGAGAGAAGACAAGGAAGAGAACACAGAGUUCCCGUUGCUCGAAAGGUCGUCCUGAGGCGACGCACUUUUGCUUGCGGCCUCCUCACCUACAGACUGCGAAAGAGAGGACGGCGCGUGACGAGCUUCGAUGCAGUGGAAGAGCGGAUUGACGUGAGCGAGGUCAUACAAGAAGGGCGGCGGAGCCAGCGAAAGAAGCGAACAAAUCGAAAGCAACAAGCGCGCCAAGACGUACUCCAAGAGAGGCCACCACCUGAGAAAAGCGACAGCACACAGCGCCAGAGCAAACAGGAGACAGACAGCAUGCAGCCUCGCAGUGGAGCGAGCCGGCAAACAUCCCGCAAAAAGUGAUGGACCCAGAGUUUCUAACGCCGUAGAAACGCACGCAACACUGCAUUCCUAUCCACUCGUUCCCACAUACACUCUAUAAACACGUGCAUGCAGUUAUACUUGCAAUUCGACACAGGGAUAGAGAAACUACAGACAAGAACGGAUCUAUAUCUAUCUAUAUAUAUAUGCAUAUAUUUAUAUAUUUAUAUAUCUAUAUCUAUCUAUCUAUAUCGACGUAUAUAUAGAAAAGCAUAUGGGUAGAGGGAGAGCCACAGGUACAGACACGUAUAUGUAUACGGAUGAACAGUCCCCAUGCUGAUGUUUCCAGGUAGACCACGUUCUUGUUUUGGCUGUUCUGAGUUGGGUGCCUAUAACUCGGCUCGGAGAGUGCUUUUUCAUCUCAGCUUCGGCCGCCUUAUCGCGGCUGUUGACAGGAUCGGAUUGGAGCGAGACUACCCCCCGACUGAGUUCUAUGUCCGAUGCACAGCAACUC
rnacentral:lncRNA from 1 species